rnacentral:lncRNA from 1 species
UGGAAUGGAUGAUGUCAUGGCGGCGCUCAUGUCAGCAGUGUUCCUCUUCGUUUCUUUUCUACGGAGAGGAAUCCGUCUUUGAUUAUGUCACGUCUCUUCUUCACUAAAGCUUUUUUUUUUUUACACACAAAUCUGUGCACAAAUCUAUUCAUUUCAAUAAAAAGUUAUUGAAAUGAGUUUUGAUUUGUGUGAAAGAAACGCAAUUACCUGUACUGAUCUCACCCCGGUUUCAUGUACAACGCCCCAUUUAAAAGACACAGGCGAGUUCAUAACCCCUUAAUAAAAUUUAAAAAGGCAACAAAAAAAAAAGAAAUGGCACAGGCGUGUACUCGACAGUCAUCGAGGUGCCAGGAGUAAUAUAUUGCCGGGCAUCUGGACAUCUCUCAGAAGGGGCUGAAGGUAUAAUAACCUCUUACUGCUUCUCACUUCAAAGCUGUCCACCGGCUAAGCUUUGGGCUUCUCAUCUCAUAUAUAGCCUCCCGAGUGCUCGCUGUGCAGACUCCCCCCCUCCCCUUCCACCCGUGAGGGACCAUAUAACUCGCGCGAGCCUCUCGUGUCACUUUAGUGAGAAAACGAGCGAAGGAAACAAACAAGAGGAGAAAGGAUUGUCUGCCCGUAACGGUUCCGACGCCGCGUUGGGUUUCGUUUGCCGCUGCGACGUGGUGAAAUCUGACUGCGAAGCCAGGAAACGUACACACGGAGAAAGACGGCAUUUGGAGAUUCAUAUGCAGUCAUUCAUACAGCGUACAGUCUGCUGAGUGCCAAGCUGGAUUAUCAGCAUUGAAACAGAGCUUCUUCUUUCUUUUUCUUCUUUUUGUCUUAAGCCGCACAAUGGGGCGCCAAAUCCAUUUGUAAAAUUAGAGUCCGAACCGCCGCCACUCAGGCGGAAAAAAACUCAAUUCGCCAAUUCAGACGCCUCCAACAUGAUCGUAUGUGAAGUGCUUACGACUGCAACGACUUGCAUUUUGUUAGAAAAAUGCCUCGCUUGGUGUUUUUUCUUCUUUUCUCUUUUCCACGGGUUGAGAGUCAGAUUUCAUCGUCUCAGGCUCUCGCCUGCUCCAGGCCCGGCCGCCGCAUUCUGGGAAGAACCACCUAAUUAGAUCAUAUAUAAAAAUAUAUAUAUCUCAUAAGCUUUUUAUAUUUUGUGUGUUUUGUUUCGAUCAGACAAAAGUGACACCGGGCCAUUGUGAGCCGCUGUUUUCAUAACCGUUUUAUAGCCUCCGUUGCUCUUUUUUUUCUUCCAGGAACUUGUCUUUUACCCUUCACAGAGCUGAUUAAAUAAUGCCCCGGCUGAUUCUAUAAACCACGGGCGGAACCAGACCUUGAGAACUCGCAGACGUGCGGAUGUUAUUUUUCCGACGGCUGAAAAUCAAAUGUGAUGUUGGUCGCGAUGCAAUUGUGGCUGUGAAAGAGAGGAAUGAUGUGUUUUGCGGUAAAGGGGGGGUUCCCGAAUCGAUCAGAGUCUGCUUUGAGGCAGCUUAAAGCCACAGUGUGUAAUAUUUAGAAGAACUUAAUCACAGAAAUUGAAUAUAUUGUCCAUAACUUUGUGUUCAUAUAUGCAUAAAACACCUGCAACGAAGAACCAAUGUUUGCUCGUCAACUCUGAGUUAAAUAAUAAUAAUAAUAAUAAUAAAUUUCAUUUAUAUCUCUUCAUUGCUAAAAGCAAUUUCAAAGUGCUAAUAUAUAUAUAGAAAAUACAGUAACAUGAGGUGGACCCGACCUCCAUGUUUCUACGUCGUGUUGAAUACGGUUGUUGUAACUAAACGGUUCCAGAAUACGUCGCGUUCACGUUGAAUUUUCAGACGCUGCCCGGAAACCGGAAAUGGAAUCGGCGGUGCGCCGCCAUGAAGUGUCCCCCGUCGGUCGCUCGGUUGGUUUGCGGUUUGCAACUUUACCACCAGAUUCCCGCCGGGAGAUAACGAAAAAUUACACACUGGGGCUUUGAGAAAGAAACCGUUGUCUUCUGAUCACAAACUACGUCAGGCGAACAUCCGACUCUCUACAUCCGAGGUCUGAACGUGGCCUGACACGUGCGGCGCUCUGCCACGAAACGUGCACGAUGAACGCCCCCUCUACGCAGAAGUACGCGUGUGUGUCGGCGAUUCAACAUAAUAACAAUUUCACACACAGUGCUCGCGGAAAAAUAAACGGACGUGGCAAAAACGAAAGGACGUGUUCGGAAGUUCUAGCUUGCCCGUGUCCCGUUGACGACCGGCGCGGCCGCUGGUCGCUGUGCAAGUCGGGAGCUCCGGCGACGGGCACGAGGAGACGCUGAAAUGUAAUCACAUUAUUUCA